rnacentral:lncRNA from 1 species
GGAAGCAAUAAAGGAAAUCAUAGUUUAACUGUUUCAAAAUCACAUGUCAUAUCAACAAUUCCAACACAUGUAUCCCUCCAGUUCGACCCAUGACCACUUCAGCUACUCCAGACAGCAAGUUCCAAUCCAAGACAUCUAACGACCUAGGUCGUCUGCCGUCGCACAACAAGUAGGAAGUAGGGUUUGUAUUCUUGAGGUUGAGGGGUAUUUAGAAUAUUACGUACCAUUCUA